CGGCACGCAGAGACGGGCAGAGAGAGCGCGUGCAGAGUGGUGGUGCGGCCGUACUGACGAUACAGAAGUGGGGCGAACGCAGCGAACUUGGGCUGGACUAGCGACGGCAGUGAAAGAAGCCUGCGGCAACCAGUGAGUGAGCUCUCAGCGGGAACGGUUGGAGGUGCGGCGUCAGCACGGUCGCGGUGAAACGGAGCCUGCGUGGAGUUGAGUGUGGCUGCUGCCAUUGGAGUUCCACCCAGGCUCGGAGUACUCGCACUGGGGGUUUGGGUUGCAAACCUUGUGCCCGGGUUCAUAGCUGGAUGCAGUUUUUGAAGUAGACUGAUCUCACCUACCAGACAUGGCAGAAAGUUUCCGUGUUAUUGCACAAAUACCGGCAGAAGAAACAACUUCAAAGGAAGCUUGAGGUACAUAAUAAUAAAAAAAAUCAUGAAAUAAAAUGGGAAUAUAUG
rnacentral:lncRNA from 1 species